UUUGAGUUGAAUCGAUUAACUUAUCCAUCUCAAAUUGAAUUUUCAGAUUAUUUUUUUUCGAUGUUUGUAAACCUUAAAGCUUCGAUUUCAUCUCAAUUCUCUUUUCUGAUUCAUUAUCAGUUUCUGCAUCUGUUCAUCUUCUUCAUUUAUUUACUUGUUUUAUUAAUUGUGUGUAUUCUCUUUUUUUCCAGGCACAUUCAGGAACCAAAAAAAGUAAAAAGCUCCACCACCAUCUUCAAAGCCAGCGAAAUCUAGUGGUGAAAAUAGAGCAAAGGAAAGCAAAAGGAGAAGGUUAACAACAUGUUCAUGUUUGAUAAAGCUGGGAUUAAAUCUGGGAUUUUGCUUUGGUGACAUAUUCAUUAGUUUUUAGUUUGUUUUCUGAAGGGUAGAGGUUGGAGAAAACAAGCUUGUAAUGAAGAUGGUCGAUCUCUGACAUCAAUAUGGCAGAGGAUGCAUUGGCAUUAAUGGAUUGUUUAGAUUGACCACAAGCUCAUACCAUGGGGUCCAUGAUAGCGUACAAAUUUUCUGCGAUGGUACUACCUUAAAGAUUGGCAGCCAAAUGCUAUGCAUUGCACUAUGUUAUUUUUAAGCGGAUACUCCUGAACAAAGGGAAGCCAUUUAUUUGGACAGUCACUAUAUGGAAGAAUGUUACAUGGGCUAAGCAUGAAAGGGGAAGUGGAUUGGUUAUGUGGUAUUUUGUUUGUAUGAUUGUGUUCUCUACACUAGUUUCAAUGGUAGGGUUUAUGUUUUGAAAUAUGAAUUGUGAAUUGAUUUUUAAAUGCCUGUAAGUGUAUGCUUAAGAGAUGAAUAUCUGUAGAUCUGGAAGUGUUUUUAUAUUUCAAGAUCGUGGAAGCAAUAAUUUGUGUAUUUGGCUAUUCGAUUUUGAUGUUGGAUGAUUUUAACAUAAGCCAUAGAUUUUUUUUUCUGGAAUGGGUAUUCAUCUGUGUUAUUAUGAUGUUAGGAUUCUAUGAUUAUUUAUGUGGCUAUAA